GCAGUUUACUUAUUUUGACGUCCUGAACGCACUGAUGUCGUUUGUUUUCUGUUUCAGAUUUUACAGAAAAAGUUGGACGAUUUUGCCCCUAGCUUGACGUCUACGGCAAUUUGGUUCAGAAACUUGGUGGUAUAUUUGCUGUUUGUCAACAGUAGUUUGGUAAGAUUAUUCCAAACUCUCCGUUAGGUUAAGUUUGGUAUCCUUACCGGUUUAUGCAUGGUUAUUGCUUGGUUGCUUAUUUGUGAAUUCUGUUGAUUGAAUUCUUGUGAUUAAUUUGUAACCUGGAAUCAUAUUUACCUGCUUUAUAUACCUGUGUUUCGUGAACGGAUUAUUUCACUGUUGUGCUUCAUUUCUAAAAAUUGUUUUUAAACUCGGUACUCAGUUUUAUAUUGAUCAU
rnacentral:lncRNA from 1 species